GAACACAUUCUUUUUCCUACGCCGGGUAGUCUACAACACAGUGAGAAGGCCUGAUCACCUUUUACCUAAAGAUACCUGAAGAAUAUCAAAUUUAAUUAGCAUUUUCUUUUCAGAGGACCAACUGAAGGUUUAACAAAGUGCCCAGACAGUCAUCAUGAGAUGCAGAGACUUUGUGAGCAGCCUUGCAAUGCUGUACCUGCUAUGGGGUCUCUACACCAUCUGCAGCCUCACCGUCUAUCUGAUUCUCUGCAUCUUCGUCAUCUACCAUCUCAACCGCCACGGACAGGAGUCAGGUGCUGACUACAUCUCUGAAAAUUUCAACAUGGAUCGUCUGUAUGAGGAAAGGCCUGAUUUCUUCAUUGAACUGAUUGAGACUUUGAUCCGACUGAACUGCAGACAACUAAACAAACGAAUCAUACAAUCAUUGCACAAUGAUGGAGCUAUUCCAAAUGGAUGUGCCACUGCAGCAGUAAAUACUGAGAGACCUGUAUCUAAUCUAACUAGGCUGCCUGAAGGUGGUUCUCAGCAACUGCCAAGAAGCCCUGGAAAUACUGCCAUAGAUCUGGAAGCAAGCAUGAUCGACCAGGAGACAGGGAAGUCUCAACUGACCACCCACAUACAGAAUCUGAACACAGUGACCAUGAUCUAAGCUGUUCUGAUAUGGAGGAGGAUAGUGAA